UUUGUAGACAUUCAUUGCAAGUUGAAUCCACAUUGUUCCAAGUUCUGCAGUUCUGCAAGUAUUAUUAAAAAUAAACCCUUUCAAAAGUCAUAAAUCAAAGGUAUGUGCUUUUCCUGUUUACAUUUGUAUAUCUUUAAAACAUCUUUUCCAUUUAACCUAAUUGAGUGCCAGCGCUCUCCCCAAGUUUAGACAGAGUAAAAAUAAUAAAGUACUGGGUGCAAUAGGGUGCAAUGCAACUUAAUGGGUUAACUAGAAAUAAUUGAGCACCAGUGCUUUCCCCUUGAUGAGUAAUAUUAUCCCAUAUUAAUUCAAUUCCAGGGUUUGAAUUAGCGGCUCGCUAUUCGCAAUUUGUGAAUGCAAAUUUUCUUUUUGAGAAUGCAAAAUCAUCCAUUUUGCGAAUGACGUUAUGCAAAAACAAUAAAAGGUUAAUUGAUUUUCACAAUCACUUCAAAUGUAUUUUACUGUAUUGUAAGAUAUGGAGUAUUUUGCUGACUAUUAUUAUGGCUACAAUUUCUUCAGAAAAUUUUGAAUGUGUGAAUUUCUUCAGAAAAUUUGAAUUUGUGAAUGGAUUUUUCCUGUCUAAUUUGAACCCUAACUGCAGGUUCUAAAAUUCUUUAUAUGUAUCAAGCUUUCUAUGACUUUCGUACAUGCCCCUCGUCGAUAUCGGCUUUGGUUGACCCUGGUUAGCAUGUUUGAAUUAAAUAAAGUUUUCUAUCUGUCUAAAAAACAGUAAAGUGAAAAAUAAAUUAUGGUGCAAUCAGGCCUCGAAUUUCCCUGAAAUCAAUCAACGGCAAUGGCGUUAAAAAUUGCCGUAGAACAUAACAGCUGUCUACGGCAAUUUUGGCAGUUUCCACAGCAUUUUUUCAAAUUACUGUAAUAAAAAUUUAAUUUUAUUGUUAUUUGGGUUGCUGACAAGCUAGAAACAUGUUUACGUAUUUCUUUAGUGGUUUUUUGAAGAAAACUCAGACUAAAAUAGUAGUUUACGCAUUAUUUGAUCGACAUCUGAAUUCAAGUAUCAAAAUAGUAAUGCAUGUGAAUUGUAUAAAAAUUAUAUAUACUAUACGGCAAAAAAUUGCCGUCGUUGCCGCAGUGAUGCAUAGCAUUUUGUUCCCCCUCUACAUCAAUUGCCGCGUUAAAAUUCAAGCCCUGAGUGCAAUGCAUCUUAGUGAGUUAACCCAAAGCUGCAAUGUGCCUGGCUGUAUUAUAUCACUCUCUUGAAUGCCAUCAAGGGGAGGAUUUUAAAUUAUUUCACAUCCUCAUUAAUCGAUUUUGGAAUUUUUAGAUAUGUUGCAAGUCCCAAGAAUGGCUGAAGUUGUUGGCUGAAGUUUUGUAAACCACAAAAAGAACACUGUCAUUGGAAAGUAUAUUAAUUAACAGGUCUUGAUAUUUUUAUGUCUUAUUUUAUGUAUCUCAUGCUUUGAAAACUAUAUGGUUGCUGUGAUCAAUGGCCGAUUCUACUUUUGAGUUCAAAAACUUAAAAAAGCUAGCAAAAAAUGCAAAAUUAAUA